rnacentral:lncRNA from 1 species
CGGACGCAUGCGAUCAGUCCAUCGCAACGCCUUAGAGGGUUCCCCCUCAGGAAUGGGAAUCUCGUACUCCCUAAACAACAGAGUGAACAUCAUACCGUAGGGGAGGGUGAGCCUAGGUCUAUCUAGGGGCUCACACAGAUAUCUAUAAAUGAGUUUGGGGAAGUUGAUUGGGGUGUCCUGAAGAAUAUAAAACAUAAGGGCGAGGUCCCUCUCAGACACAAA